CCAAUAGCGUAUAUUAAAGUUGUUGCAGUUAAAAAGCUCGUAGUUGAAUUUCGGGGUCAGUAGGUUGGUCAUGCCUCUGGUAUGUAGUGGUGUCACUGAUUCCUCCUUCCUGAUGAGCCGUAAUGCCAUUAAUUUGGUGUUGCGAGGGAUCUGGAAUGUUACUUUGAAAGAAUAAGAGUGAUUAAAUAAAGCUAACGCUUGAAUACAAUAGCAUGGCAUAAUGAAAUAGGACGUUCGAUCUUAUUUUGUUGGUUUCUAAGAUUGACGUAAUGAUUAAUAGGGAUAGUUGGGGGCAUUAGUAUUCAAUUGUCAGAGGUGAAAUUCUUGGAUUUAUUGAAGACUAACUACUGCGAAAGCAUUUGCCAAGGAUGUUUUCAUUAAUCAAGAACGAAAGUUAGGGGAUCGAAGACGAUCAGAUACCGUCGUAGUCUUAACCAUAAACUAUGCCGACUAGGGAUCGGAUGAUGUUAAUUUUUUAAUGACUCAUUCGGCGCCUUACG
rnacentral:rRNA from 1 species